AUUGAACGCUGGCGGCAGGCUUAACACAUGCAAGUCGAGCGGGGGAAGGUAGCUUGCUACCGGACCUAGCGGCGGACGGGUGAGUAAUGCUUAGGAAUCUGCCUACUAGUGGGGCAUAACACAGCGAAAGUUGUGCUAAUGCCGCAUAAGUAAGCAAUUAGAAAGGGGCGGUCGCAAGACGUCCCGCUGAAAGACGAGCCUGCGGCCUAUUAGCUAGUUGGUGGGGUAAUGGCCUACCAAGGCAACGAUAGGGACCCGGUCUGAGAGGAUGAGCGGACACACUGGAACUGAGACACGGUCCAGACUCCUACGGGAGGCAGCAGUAGGGAAUAUUGCGCAAGGGGGGAAACCCUGACGCAGCAACGCCGCGUGAGUGAGGAAGGUCAUCGGAUUGUAAAACUCUUUUAUUUGGGAAAAAUGGUCACGUAACUAAUAGCACGUGAUUUGAUGGUACCAAAAGAAUAAGGACCGGCUAACUUCGUGCCAGCCGCCGCCGUAA
rnacentral:rRNA from 1 species